AAUUUGAUGCAAUUCCAUGCAGCUCAGCGAGAGAAGGCUUUGGAUAAACAGCUUCACAGCCUAAUUGAACAACUUGCAGCAAAGCAGGUUAGAAUUUUUUAUUUUAUCUAAAUAUAAAUGAUGUAAUAAGCUUUUCUUUUGGCAACUCCUGUAAUGAUGUUAUCAAUUUGUGUUCUUUAAAGUGACAUCUGGUAGAAAAUUAAAUUACUAUACUAGUUUCUCUUUUUCUUCUUUGCAUUUCAGGCUCAAGCAGAAGGCCUUAUCAGUGAAAUUCAUCUGAGGGAGAUUGAGUUUGAAAGAUUAAAUGGACUGUGGAAAAGAAUCCAGACGCGUAACACAGAUCUGAAUACAGCAAGGAAUAGGUUUGGAAUAAGCAGCUCUGACAGUGGACCUGUUUCUUCUAAUUACACUGUUGAUCCUGACCACAAGCUUCCUUUCCAUAUAGCUGGUCGAAAUGACAGUUUGCAGAGGUUGAUGCUACUCAGGUCGGCUUUUGUGCUUUACAUUUUAGCUCUGCAUGUAUUGGUAUUCAUUAAAAUUUCAUUCUAAAUGCCCCCCCUCAUACCAAAUUUCUCUUUAUUGUUGGUCUCAUUUCUGGUUUUGAUGUCAAUACAUUCUUAUGUAUAUAUUCUACUCCUGAUUGUACAAAAACUCAUGGCGUGCUUAGUCAAACUAUUGGCUCAAUUUAACAAAGGGGAUGAAACUUUUCUUUUGAUGUGCACUCUAGCUAUAUAAUUAUUUUUCCCUCGUCUUUCUCACCCUUGCAAUUUUAUGAUUCUGCUACUAUGUUAAGUUACUUGGCAAUUGGCAUUAGAAACCUGGUUUCGUUGCAAAACAUAAGAGUGGGAUAAAGGAAAAAAUGGCCAAGCAGAACUGCAGAACAAUAAGAUGGAGCAAGUUUGAAAUAUGAUGGCUUGAAGGUUCUUUUGUCCCACCUUUGUGGCCUUUUUAUCCUUUUGUUAAUGUCCAUCAAUUC
rnacentral:lncRNA from 1 species